UCAUUCGGAUUGUAGUCUGCAACUCGACUACAUGAAGCUGGAAUCGCUAGUAAUCGCGAAUCAGAAUGUCGCGGUGAAUACGUUCCCGGGUCUUGUACACACCGCCCGUCACACCAUGGGAGUCGGGAAUGCCCGAAGUCAGUGACCCAACCGGAAGGAGGGAGCUGCCGAAGGCAGGCUCGAUAACUGGGGUGAAGUCGUAACAAGGUACC
rnacentral:rRNA from 1 species